AAUACCGUUUAGAAAAUCAAAAAAUGACCCAUAUAUUUAACAAUUAGAUAAAAUUGACUUUCAGAAAAAAUGCUACACUUAUAUACACCUCUAUACAUCAGAGCAAGUUUUCUAGGAUAAAAGUGGUCUACAGUAAAAAAAUAAAAAAUUAAGUACCAUUGUAAGAAAUAUUUAAAAAAGGAAAAAAAGUCGUCCAAUGAUUUUGGAAAUUUCACCACGUCUAAGUGAGUCCAAUAUCAGUAUUAUUACCAAGUUUCAAAACUCUACGUAUAUUUAUAACUGAAUUACAGCAAAAAACUUUCAAAAAUUUAAAUUCCUUUAAAGCUCAAAAGUGACUCAAAAGUUUUGGCGAUGAUACCGUAAGAAAUUAAAUCAAAAAUAAAACAAAAAAGAUAUUUUGUGUUUUUCGAUUUGAUCAUUUUUUCCGGUAGAAAACGACGUCCGUGUUUUUAUAAAAUAAUGAAAUCGUGAAAUUGUACGUUUUUUCUUUCUUAAAUGCUUUUAUUUAAAAAAAUGGCGUCGAAAAUUACUACUCGUAAAAAUCAGAGCAAGUUUACUAGGAAAAACCGUGUCCACAGACUAGAACAAAGAAAAAAAAUAAACAACAUUGUAAAAUCAAUAGUUCCCUUGCUAUGCUCGGAAUCUAAAAAUUAGAAAUCAUUUUAUACUAUAAGCUACAUCUACAGUUGUUAGACGAUGGUCAUAAAUUAUUAUAACUUUCGAAUUCAAUUUACUAGAAAAAUCGGUAAAAGGAUUUCAGAUUAAACUUA